GCAGGUGGAGGAUCAAAUGAUUGGCAGAAGCAGGAACACACUGAGGACUGGUCUGAAAUGGCAGCUGAAGCAAAUCAAGAGCCAACCACCACCUACCCACCCAAGAAACUCCAACAUCCCACAAACCCUUGCUCCUCUUAUAGGAAAUGCUACACACAGGCCCAAAGCCUGCAGCCAGCAUAGUUUCAGAUGAGAAGCUUGUAUAAUCUUGAGGAUCAUGAAAUCCUCAAGAACAACUGGAUAAAAAGGACCAUAUACAGAGGAAGACCAUGCAUGAAUGCUAAAACAGUUGCACAGGAUCUUUUGUCUUCAACAGAAAACAGCACAUGGGGAAUUUGCACGGGUGUUAGCUGCAAAUGAACUGACAUUACAAAGAUAAUAGAGACUAUACAAGUGCUUUCUGCUCAGGCUUUAAUGUACUUGAACUACUGAUGUUAUUGUUAUUUUUAGCAUGUACUGUA